rnacentral:misc_RNA from 1 species
CCGAGUUUACAAACUCCCAACCCUGUGAACAUACCUAUACGUUGCCUCGGGGGCCGGGAAUCCAGGCCGCGCGGCACCCUUAUAGGGGGACGGCCCGCCGUCAGAGGACCCGAAACUCUGUAAUUUACUGGACUCUCUGAGUAAACUAACAAUAAGUCA